CAGUCGCCACGGUAAUACAGAGGGUGCAAGCGUUAAUCGGAAUUACUGGGCGUAAAGCGCGCGUAGGUGGUUCGUUAAGUUGGAUGUGAAAUCCCCGGGCUCAACCUGGGAACUGCAUCCAAAACUGGCGAGCUAGAGUAGGGCAGAGGGUGGUGGAAUUUCCUGUGUAGCGGUGAAAUGCGUAGAUAUAGGAAGGAACACCAGUGGCGAAGGCGACCACCUGGGCUCAUACUGACACUGAGGUGCGAAAGCGUGGGGAGCAAACAGGAUUAGAUACCCCCGUAGUCCCUGUCUCUUAUAC
rnacentral:rRNA from 1 species